rnacentral:rRNA from 1 species
ACAUACGAUCAUAGGAUUCUGGAUCAGGGAAACCCAUCCGUUCUUCAUGCUUAAGCAGUUUACCGGCAGAUUAGUAGUCAGGUGGGUGACUACUGGCGAAUACCCGCUGUCGUAUGUU